AUUGAACGCUGGCGGCAGGCCUAACACAUGCAAGUCGAACGAGUGGCGGACGGGUGAGUAAUGUAUGGGAAACUGCCUGAUGGAGGGGGAUAACUACUGGAAACGGUAGCUAAUACCGCAUACCAUCAGAUGUGCCCAUAUGGGAUUAGCUUGUAGGUGGGGUAACGGCUCACCUAGGCGACGAUCCCUAGCUGGUCUGAGAGGAUGACCAGCCACACUGGGACUGAGACACGGUCCAGACUCCUCCGGGAGGCAGCAGUGGGGAAUAUUGCACAAUGGGCGCAAGCCUGAUGCAGCCAUGCCGCGUGUAUGAAGAAGGCCUUCGGGUUGUAAAGUACUUUCAGCGGGGAGGCGUUACCGGCAGAAGAAGCACCGGCUAACUCCGUGCCAGCAGCCGCGGUAAUAC
rnacentral:rRNA from 1 species